rnacentral:rRNA from 1 species
CUGAACGCUGGCGGCGUGGCUAAGACAUGCAAGUCGAACGGGUGUAGCAAUACACCAGUGGCGGACGGGUGAGUAAUAUAUCGCUAAUGUGCCCCGGAAUCCGGGAUAGCUAGCCGAAAGGCUAGGUAAUACCGGAUGAUAUGUCCUGAUGGCAUCAUCGGGACCUCAAAGGAGUAAUCCGGUCUGGGAGCAGGCGAUAACGUAUCAGCUAGUUGGUGAGGUAACGGCUCACCAAGGCGACGACGCGUAGCCGGGCUGAGAGGUUGGCCGGCCACAUUGGGACUGAGACACUGCCCAGACUCCUACGGGGGGCUGCAGUAACGAAUCUUCCACAAUGCACGAAAGUGUGAUGGAGCGACGCCGCGUGUAGGAUGAAGUCCUUCGGGAUGUAAACUACUGUCAGGGGAAAGAAAGUUCUGAUCUACCCCAGAGGAAGAGACGGCUAACUCUGUGCCAGCAGCCGCGGUAAU